rnacentral:miRNA from 1 species
UCCAGCACUUGCUCUGGUGCAAAGCCAUUUUGUUCUUCAAGUUGGAGAACAAAAUGGCUUUGCACCAGAGCAAGUGCUGGAUGACCUCG